GAUGAACGCUGGCGGCGUGCCUAAUACAUGCAAGUCGAGCGAACAGACGAGGAGCUUGCUCCUCUGACGUUAGCGGCGGACGGGUGAGUAACACGUGGAUAACCUACCUAUAAGACUGGGAUAACUUCGGGAAACCGGAGCUAAUACCGGAUAAUAUAUUGAACCGCAUGGUUCAAUAGUGAAAGACGGUUUUGCUGUCACUUAUAGAUGGAUCCGCGCCGCAUUAGCUAGUUGGUAAGGUAACGGCUUACCAAGGCAACGAUGCGUAGCCGACCUGAGAGGGUGAUCGGCCACACUGGAACUGAGACACGGUCCAGACUCCUACGGGAGGCAGCAGUAGGGAAUCUUCCGCAAUGGGCGAAAGCCUGACGGAGCAACGCCGCGCGAGAGAUGAAGGUCUUCGGAUCGUAAAACUCUGUUAUUAGGGAAGAACAAAUGUGUAAGUAACUAUGCACGUCUUGACGGUACCUAAUCAGAAAGCCACGGCUAACUACGUG
rnacentral:rRNA from 1 species